rnacentral:rRNA from 1 species
GAGUUAUUGGGCCUAAGCAUCCGUAGCUGGCUGAGUUAGUCCCUUGUUAAAUCCACCGAAUUAAUCGUUGGAUUGCGGGGGAUACUGCUCGGCUAGGGGACGAGAGAGGCAGACGGUAUUUCUGGGGUAGGGGUGAAAUCCUAUAAUCCCAGGAGGACCACCAGUGGCGAAGGCUGUCUGCUAGAACGCGCCAGACGGUGAGGGAUGAAAGCUGGGGGAGCGAACCGGAUUAGAUACCCGGGUAGUCCCAGCUGUAAACGAUGCAAACUAGGUGUUUGGACGGCCACGUGCCGUUCUAGUGCCGCAGGGAAGCUGUUAAGUCUGCCGCCUGGGGAGUACGAUCGCAAGAUUGAAACUUAAAGGAAUUGGCGGGGGAGCACA